AAAGUCGUAACAAGGUUUCCGUAGGUGAACCUGCGGAAGGAUCAUUAACACGUAUCCACGUAUUUAUCAACCAACCACCACGAACCGUUCUCCCCGAGACUUACCUAACCGCAAGGCUGUGUUGUAAGGUUAAGGCGGGCCCCGCCUGUGCGCUUGUCGUACGGCCGUAAGGACCAUCUUAUAACACUAUCGAUCCGUUGAGAUCGUGGCUGAGUACCUGGUUUGUCGGGCUUUACUAUCACUCCAAUAGCACUUCACCGUCUGCGUGUGCGUUGGUGUGAGACCAUAACCUGUUUCACCCUAUUUUGACCAAUUGGCUAAUAUUUACCGAUGGAGAGAGAAAUCUCUCGAUCUCUAAGAUUUAUCUUAACUAAGCACAACUCUUAGCAAUGGAUAUCUUGGUUCUC
rnacentral:misc_RNA from 1 species